UACGUAGGGGGCUAGCGUUGUCCGGAAUCAUUGGGCGUAAAGAGCGUGUAGGCGGUCCGGUAAGUCCGCUGUGAAAGUCGGGGGCUCAACCCUCGAAUGCCGGUGGAUACUGUCGGGCUAGAGUGCGGAAGAGGCGAGUGGAAUUCCUGGUGUAGCGGUGAGAUGCGCAGAUAUCAGGAGGAACACCGAUUGCGAAGGCAGCUCGCUGGGACGUGACUGACGCUGAGACGCGAAAGCGUGGGGAGCAAACAGG
rnacentral:rRNA from 1 species